GACGAGUCUCACAAGCGUUAUUCGGAAUUACUGGGCUUAAAGGGUGCGUAGGCGGUGGAGUAAGUCGGAUGUGAAAUACCAUAGCUUAACUAUGGAACUGCACUCGAUACUACUUUGCUAGAGUAAGACAGAGGUGAGUGGAACUGAGGGUGGAGCGGUGAAAUGCGUUGAUAUCCUCAGGAACACCGGUGGCGAAGGCGACUCACUGGGUCUUUACUGACGCUGAUGCACGAAAGCUAGGGUAGCAAACGGG
rnacentral:rRNA from 1 species